GCAGAGUCCUUGUCCGGUCCCUGUCCUGCCACCGGCGGCGCACUUCCCGUCUUCCUUCGCCAGCCUUCUGUGCCCAGCUGCUGGGAGCACUACAUUUCCCAGUGUACCUUUUGGUGAAGAGGCCGGGAGAGUGUGAUGAGUGCUGUCAGUAUUGGCAUGAGAAGCUUCUUCUGGUAGUCGUUAAAGAUCCACUGCAGAGAUCUCCUAACUGGUCAAAGUGCUGAGAAGAAGUGACUCAGCCCUAACAUGGGAAUGCCCAUCUUACCCCACCCAAGGCUCGGGGAACAUUGUGGAAGAAACACUAGGAAGAAUAUAAAACCAAAGGAAGAGUGCCCUGUUAUGAAGCCCUGGACGAAUCAGGAACUCACAGCAAUCCUAUGCUCCAGUCUCCAAACGCUGGGAUUACAAACCUAAACUACCACAGAAGGCUCAUCUCACACCCCCUUCAGGGUUUCACCUUUUCAGAUCAGUCUGUUGGAUUGAACCUGGAGCCUUCCAUGCAAUAAGCAAGCACUCUACCAUGAAGCCUCUAACAACCCAGGUCCAAUUUUGAUUUUGUAUGUAUACCUACGAAGUUU